GACGAACGCUGGCGGCGUGCUUAACACAUGCAAGUCGAACGGUGAAGCUCCAGCUUGCUGGAGUGGAUCAGUGGCGAACGGGUGAGUAACACGUGAGCAACCUGCCCCAGACUCUGGAAUAAGCGCUGGAAACGGCGUCUAAUACUGGAUACGAGAUCAAGCCGCAUGGUUAUGGUCUGGAAAGUUUUUCGGUUUGGGAUGGGCUCGCGGCCUAUCAGCUUGUUGGUGAGGUAAUGGCUCACCAAGGCGACGACGGGUAGCCGGCCUGAGAGGGCGACCGGCCACACUGGGACUGAGACACGGCCCAGACUCCUACGGGAGGCAGCAGUGGGGAAUAUUGCACAAUGGGCGAAAGCCUGAUGCAGCGACGCCGCGUGAGGGAUGACGGCCUUCGGGUUGUAAACCUCUUUCAGCAGGGAAGAAGCGAAAGUAACGGUACCUGCAGAAGAAGCACCGGCUAACUACGUG
rnacentral:rRNA from 1 species